GAGAGCGUGCGGCGGUGCUAAACAUGCAAGUCGAACGAAGAGCGAUGGAAGCUUGCUUCUAUUAAUCUUAGUGGCGAACGGCACGACAGACGCGUAAUCAACCUGCCCUUCAGAGGGGGACAACACUUGGAAACGACUGCUAAUACCGCAUACGAUCCAAUCUCGGCAUCGAGACUGGAUGAAAGGUGGCCUCUAUUUAUAAGCUAUCACUGAAGGAGGGGAUUGCGUCUGAUUAGCUAGUUGGAGGGGUAACGGCCCACCAAGGCGAUGAUCAGUAGCCGGUCUGAGAGGAUGAACGGCCACAUUGGGACUGAGACACGGCCCAGACUCCUACGGGAGGCAGCAGUGGGGAAUCUUCCGCAAUGGACGAAAGUCUGACGGAGCAACGCCGCGUGAGUGAUGACGGCCUUCGGGUUGUAAAGCUCUGUUAAUCGGGACGAAUGGUUCUUGUGCGAAUAGUGCGAGGAUUUGACGGUACCGGAAUAGAAAGCCACGGCUAACUACGUGCCAGCAGCCGCGGUAAUACGUAGGUGGCAAGCGUUGUCCGGAAUUAUUGGGCGUAAAGCGCGCGCAGGCGGAUUGGUCAGUCUAUCUUAAAAGUUCGGGGCUUAACCCCGUGAUGGGAUGGAAACUGCCGAUCUAGAGUAUCCUAGAGGAAAGUGGAAUUCAUAGUGUAGCGGUGAAAUGCGUAGAUAUUAGGAAGAACACCAGUGGAGAAGGUGACUUUCUGGACGAAAUCUGACGCUAAAGCACGGAAGCCAACGGA
rnacentral:rRNA from 1 species